GCGGAUGUGGCGGAAUUGGUAGACGCCCUGGAUUUAGGUUCCAGUGCCGAAAGGCGUGGGGGUUCGAGUCCCUUCAUCCGCACCA
rnacentral:tRNA from 164 species